rnacentral:rRNA from 1 species
GUGGGGAAUUUUGGACAAUGGGCGAAAGCCUGAUCCAGCCAUGCCGCGUGCAGGAUGAAGGCCUUCGGGUUGUAAACUGCUUUUGUACGGAACGAAAAGACUCCUUCUAAUAAAGGGGGUCCAUGACGGUACCGUAAGAAUAAGCACCGGCUAACUACGUGCCAGCAGCCGCGGUAAUACGUAGGGUGCAAGCGUUAAUCGGAAUUACUGGGCGUAAAGCGUGCGCAGGCGGUUAUAUAAGACAGAUGUGAAAUCCCCGGGCUCAACCUGGGAACUGCAUUUGUGACUGUAUAGCUAGAGUACGGUAGAGGGGGAUGGAAUUCCGCGUGUAGCAGUGAAAUGCGUAGAUAUGCGGAGGAACACCGAUGGCGAAGGCAAUCCCCUGGACCUGUACUGACGCUCAUGCACGAAAGCGUGGGGAGCAAACAGGAUUAGAAACACGGGUAGUCC